GUAGGUGGCAAGCGUUGUCCGGAAUUAUUGGGCGUAAAGCGCGCGCAGGCGGUUCUUUAAGUCUGAUGUGAAAGCCCACGGGCUCAACCGUGGAGGGUCAUUGGAAACUGGAGAACUUGAGUACAGAAGAGGAAAGCGGGAUUCCACGUGUAGCGGUGAAAUGCGUAGAGAUGUGGAGGAACACCAGUGGCGAAGGCGGCUUCUGGUCUGUAACUGACGCUGAGGCGCGAAAGCGUGGGGAGCAAACAGGAUUAGAUACCCUGGUAGUCCACGCCGUAAACGAUGAGUGCUAAGUGUUAGGGGGUUUCCGCCCCUUAGUGCUGCAGCUAACGCAUUAAGCACUCCGCCUGGGGAGUACGGCCGCAAAGGCUG
rnacentral:rRNA from 1 species